GGGAGCGUGUCCGGGACUGGUGCCCGGCCCAGUCUUCAAAAUUGGUGGCGCUGGUGUAAAAACCGGCGCGGCGGGUUCGAUUCCCGUACGCUCCCG
rnacentral:tRNA from 1 species